CCUACGGGUGGCAGCAGUGGGGAAUAUUGCGCAAUGGGCGAAAGCCUGACGCAGCGACGCCGCGUGAGGGAUGAAGGUCUUCGGAUCGUAAAACUCUGUCAGCAGGGAAGAACGGUCACUGUGCUAAUUAUCAGCGAAUUGACGGUACCUGCAAAGGAAGCACCGGCUAACUCCGUGCCAGCAGCCGCGGUAAUACGGAGGGUGCGAGCGUUAACCGGAAUUAUUGGGCGUAAAGCGCUCGUAGGCGGUAUGUCAAGUCAAGGGUGAAAUCCCCGCGCUCAACGUGGGAACUGCCUUUGAAACUGGCAAACUUGAGUGUGUAAGAGGAUAGUGGAAUUCCAGGUGUAGGAGUGAAAUGCGUAGAUAUCUGGAGGAACAUCAGUGGCGAAGGCGACUAUCUGGCACAUAACUGACGCUGAGGAGCGAAAGCGUGGGUAGCAAACAGGAUUAGAUACCCUUGUAGUC
rnacentral:rRNA from 1 species